GUGCUUGCUUUGAUAACACAUAUACUAAAAUUGGAACAGUACAGAAGAUUAGCAUGGCACCUGCGGAAUGACACGCAAAUUCGUGAAGCGUUCCAUAUUUAA